CGCAUCUGUGCAUGCAGCAUAUCAAUAAGCGGAGGAAAAGAAACUAACAAGGAUUCCCUUAGUAACGGCGAGUGAAGCGGGGAGAGCUCAAAUUUGAAAUCUUCAAGGUUUUACCUUGACGAAUUGUAGUUUAAAGAAGUGUUUUCUGUUGAAGUUUUGGUAAAAGUUCUUUGGAAUAGGACAUCAUAGAGGGUGAGAAUCCCGUAUUUGACCAUUAUUUUCAGCUGUGUGAUACACUUUCAAAGAGUCGGAUUGUUUGGGAAUGCAGUCCAAAAUGGGUGGUAAAUUUCAUCUAAAGCUAAAUAUUGGCGAGAGACCGAUAGCGAACAAGUACCGUGAGGGAAAGAUGAAAAGAACUUUGAAAAGAGAGUUAAACAGUACGUGAAAUUGUCAAAAGGGAAGCGUUUGACACCAGUGUUGUUUUCUCGAAAAUCAAUUAAAAAGAGUUAGAUUUUGUUGUGUAUUGACCUUAACAGCUUGCAUUUCAAUUUUCUUGCUUUUUUUAAUGCACUUUUCGUUUAACAAGUCAACAUCAGUUUCUUUUGUUGUAAAAAGGGUCAUUGGAAGGUGGCUUUCUUUUCGGAGAAAGUGUUUAUAGCCUUUGACUCCUGCAAUCCGGAGAGACUGAGGUCUGCAGCGUAGAUCCUUCGGGGUUAGAUACAUUUGUGCUAAGUUAUAGCUUUUUAUAGACAACUUGUUGACUAUGAUUAGUCUUGUAGCUUACUCGCUUAUGCUAUUUUACCUACGCUUAGGAUGUUGACGCGCGUGUGUGCGUG
rnacentral:rRNA from 1 species